rnacentral:lncRNA from 12 species
GAUGUGCUGAUCUGGGAAGGCGUGGAUGGGGCUAGUGCUGGGCAAAACGUCACCUGCUGAGGACGAAUGCCGAGUCCUGCCUGGGGCUGCAGGGCAGCCUGGAGAGAGAGAAAGCAAGUCUGCGCAGAAGCCCUACGGGAUCGUCUCAUUGCAUGAUUUUCUUUACUUUUACGGUAAAAGGAGAUUUAACUUUUUGCUGUUCAAUCUUUUUUAAAUAAUGGAGGAAAAAUACAUUUGCUAAAAAAAAAAAAUGCCCUUUGUAUUCACCCUGUUUUGGUGUGUAAGGUUUCCAAGAGGUGACUGGUACCGAUUCUGGUGCUAUUGGUUUCAGCCACGGCUGGAGUGCUCAAAUUACACCGGCAGUGCCAGGAAGACAGGUGGCAGAGGGGGCAGCUGGCUUUGUUUGGAAAGGGCCCUUUAUUCCAGAAGCCAGACGCCAGAGACAAAGUCUUCUACCUUAUAAUCAGGUAAGUAUAGGAUAUUGGAUUUAGAAGGGUCUCAUUUUACAAUUGCAAAAAUGUCUCCUAGCUGGGUCUGACAUGGUUCUAGAAAUGGAUUCUUUUUCAAUGUCUUCUAAGAUUUAGGGUAUAAAUGAUCAACAAAAAAUUACCUCUGCCUUAAAUAAUUAGGGAUUCGUUUUUCUCACAUAAGAAGUCUAGGGGUAGGCGGUCCAGAGAUGGUACAGUGGCUCCACAAUACUGCCAGGGACCUAAAUCUUUUCAUCCCUCUGUUCCAUCACCUUCAGCUUGUAGAUCCCAUGUCUGUACACUCAUGAUAACAAGAUGACUGCUGCACCUCCAGGCAUCUCACCCAUGUUCCAGGCAGGAAGAAGAGGGAGAAACAGGAAUGAAUGCCUUCCCAGAAACCCUCAGCAGAUUUCUGAGUGAACUACAAUACGUGGCCACCCAGAACUGCAAAGGAGUCUGGGAGAUAGGAAUAUUUUCCACCAGGCACGCUUACAUCCCAAGCAAAAUCAGGGUUGUGUGAGGAAGAGGAAGGGGCUAAGUGUUGGAUGGUCAGCUAGCAAGGUCUAGCACAGUAUCAAAAGUGGAAUCACACCCAGGCCUAUCUCAUUGCAAGGUCUGUGUUCCUCUUUGCACGGUAAGCCAGCUUCCCCACAUAAAUGGCUUUAGCAAUUCCCCGCCCCUGCCAACAACCCCAUGACUACAUCAAAUUCGGUAUCUGCAGGUUACAAAUGAGAAGACAGAGUCUCAGAAAAGUCACACAUUCAGUCACCGGCAGAAACACCACCAGAGCCCUAAUCUCCUUAGCCCAAAUUUUGAUCAUUUUCUGCUGUGCCGUAGUUCCCAAAGCCCGGCUGUGCAUCUAGGUCAUCUGAGCGUAUCCAAGAUGACAGGUGCCUAGGGUUCUAGGUCCAUCAGAACCUUCUGGCUGAGGCCCAGAAAUCUGGGCUUUUUUAACGAUUUUAUUUAUUUUUGCAAGAGACAGGGAAUGAGCAUGAGCCAGGGGGAGGGGCAGAGGCAGAAGCAGGCUGCCCCCUGAGCAGGGAGCCCGACCCAGGGCUUGAUCCCAGGACCCUGAGAUCAUGACCUGAGCCAAAGGCAGAUGCUUAGCAAACUGAGCCACCCAGGUGCCCCAGAAAUCUGUAUUUUUAAUGCAAUCUUCACCUCCAAUUUACAGAUGACACAGUGACAGCUCUGCAACUUGCUGGAGGUCAACAGCAAGGAAGUGGCGGAGCUGGGACUCAAAUGCAGCCUGGUGGCACCAGAGCCUGCGACUUUAACCACCAUGUUCAAUGGCUAAGUAACAGGAGAAAAGGAGGGAAAUUCAGUAUUAAGAUUGAAGGCAGCUAUCAUCGGAGAUUUCCUGGGAUGUAGGCAAAACUUACUACACAGAACAUGCAAUAAUAUUAAAAUAAAAACACAGGUGUGUCCCCCCCUCA